rnacentral:miRNA from 1 species
GGAGGCCUGACCUGAUCAUCCUUACUGAGCAGUCCAAGUGCGUGCUGCCUCAGCAAGCAGGUCAGCUGGCAGCU